GGUUAAGUUACUAAGGGCACACGGUGGAUGCCUUGGCGCUAGGAGCCGAAGAAGGACGCAGCGAACUGCGAUAAGCCUCGGGGAGCGGUAAGCACGCUUUGAUCCGGGGAUCUCCGAAUGGGGUAACCCACCAUCUGUAAUGGGAUGGUAUCCUUCACUGAAUACAUAGGUGAUGAGAAGGCAGACCCGGUGAACUGAAACAUCUAAGUAGCCGGAGGAAGAGAAAACAAUAGUGAUUCCGUCAGUAGUGGCGAGCGAACGCGGAAGAGCCUAAACCGUCGGGUUUACCCGGCGGGGUUGUGGGGCGUCUCACACGGAGUUACAAAAGACUCUUGUAGAUGAACAGUUUGGGAAGACUGACCAAAGAGCGUGACAGUCGCGUAAUCCAAACAAGAGUCUCUCCGAGACCAACCCCGAGUAGCGCGGGACACGUGAAAUCCCGUGUGAAUCUGGCAGGACCAUCUGCUAAGGCUAAAUACUACCUAGCGACCGAUAGUGAACCAGUACCGUGAGGGAAAGGUGAAAAGCACCCCGGGAGGGGAGUGAAAUAGUACCUGAAACCGUGUGCUUACAAAUAGUCGGAGCCC
rnacentral:ncRNA from 1 species